rnacentral:tRNA from 1 species
GCCUGAGUGGCUCAGUCGGUUGAGCAUCUGACUUCGGCUCAGGUCAUGAUCUCACAGUUUGUGGGUUCAAGCCCUGCAUCGGGCU